GUGAAUCAUCGAAUCUUUGAACGCACCUUGCGCCCUUUGGUAUUCCGAAAGGCAUGCCUGUUUGAGCGUCAUGAAAUCUCAAUCCCCUCUGGUCUCUCUUGACCUUGGGGCGGACUUGGACCUGGGUGUCUGCCGUUCUGUCGGCUCGCCUCAAAAGACUUAGUGGGAUCAGCAUCCACGGCCUGACGUGAUAAGUUUUGUCUGGCAUGGUGUGAGGCCCGCUCAUAACGCCCUGCCCCUUGUGGGCGCUCCUUUGGACUCUGACCUCAAAUCAGGUAGGACUACCCGCUGAACUUAAGCAUAUCAAUAAGCGGAGGA
rnacentral:misc_RNA from 1 species